rnacentral:lncRNA from 1 species
CAAAAAAAAUUGGUUUUUUAUUUUUUAAUCAGUUUGUUCAUCACCGGCCGACCCGCGCGCGACCGCCGACCCCGACCAGUCACCGCAUCCAGUGAAGCGUCGACCCCAUCGUCGUCUCGAACCCGUCGUCAUUCGCGCCGUGCGCGCGCCGGGUCACCCUCCGCGCCAUCCGCGCCAGUCGACCGGCUAUGAGUCAUUUAGACGUAAGAUUAGAGCCCAAAUUCGCCUGCGGGCCGAAUCGCGAUUGUUUCACCGAACCGCCGGCGCCGUCGUGUCCGCGCUGAUGCUGCUUGUGCGUCACGUCGUUACCCGGGUGGGGCUGAUACCUGCGUGAACGGCGAUGGGAGUGCGGGGGGUUGGGGUUUUUUUAUGUGGUUCAGGGUUCAGGGUUUAAGUUUGUUUUGGGGUUCGGCUCCGAGUCGUCGGGGUUGAUUUGACUUUUGCGCCGUCGAGCCUGCGCCGAGGUUUUGAUUUGAAAAAAUGCGACACUCACCCCGCCCUGAGUUUGCUCUUGCACACGAACUUCGACGCCGGCGACAUCAUCGCGUCCGUCGGGCUGUUGUUCCUGCGUCGACGGGGAGGGGAGGGUGCCGCGGGGUCAGCGCGGGUCGUCCGAGGCGCGCGACUCGACUCGACUCGGCGAAUUAAAAGUUAGAUGAACGUGAUGAAUGGAUGGAUGCUGACGACGGGAAGCUUCGGACCUCGAGCCCCCCGGCGGGACCUUCUUCCCCGGGGUCUUCCUCAGCUGCGUCAGCGCGGUGAGGUUUUGCAUCGUGUUGACGUCGUGCGGCUCCAGCGCGGCCCACGUGACCUGCUGCGUCGGGGAUUUAUGCUGCGACUCGGGCGACAUGGUGGCGAUCUUCGCGAGCUGCUCCGCGAUUGGCGUCGUUGUUAUCUCGGCCCGCGUGUGUGCGUCCGCGCGUGUCCUCGUGCGAUACGAAGGUGGCGCGUCGACGUGUCCGCGGCGGUGGCUCGUGAACGUCUCGAGGGAUCUCUCCGGUGGCGUCGGCGCGAUCGUCGGUCGGGUGCGUGGACGCGGCGCGCUUCGAGUCAAUGGGACGACCCGGCCCUUCUUCGUGUCACGAAAGUCUCGGAGUUUCCGCGAGCGAGAUCGGGAAACG